UACGUAGGGUGCGAGCGUUACUCGGAAUUACUGGGCGUAAAGCGUGCGCAGGCGGUUUUGUAAGCCAGAUGUGAAAUCCCCGGGCUUAACCUGGGAAUGGCAUUUGGGACUGCAAGGCUUGAGUUUGGCAGAGGAGACUGGAAUUCCUGGUGUAGCAGUGAAAUGCGUAGAUAUCACUUGGAACGCCAAUGGUGAAGACAGCUCGCUGGGGGUGUCCUGACGCUGAGGCGCGAAAGCCAGGGGAGCGAACGGG
rnacentral:rRNA from 1 species